CCCACCCCCGGAGGAGAGGCCGUGGCCACGCAGUCCACUGCAACUCCUCCCCACAGGUAAGUGGAGUGGACUUAGUGUGGCAGCACCUACUCUUUGGCAUACCCUCCAACAUUUCUCUGAUGAAAAUAGGGACGUCCCAUUCCAUAAUGAUAAUUUUGAUAAUUUUACUAUUUAUACACAGGCAGCUCAGGGGUCGCAUAACUCCAUACCCUCCAACAUUUCUCCAAUAAAAAUAGGGGCAUCCUAAGGAAAGGGGGGACAUUCCAGGAUCAAAUCAGAAACUGGGACAGCUUCUCUAAUUCAGGGACAACCCUGGAAAAUAGGGACACUCUUCUUGCACAUCAGACAGGCACUUUCUCUAGUGUGUUUUUGGUGUGUGUGUAGGAUCUCCAGCCUUUUAAAUAGAGAUCUUUAUCACACUCCUGUCUCCGUAAUCAGAUUUGAAAUUGUUUUCACGUAUGGAAUUGGUUUGGAUCGUUUGUGUGUGUUCUAACUGGGAUUUUAGUGCUGCUGAUGCUUUGACUGUGAAAUUGCUCCGAGAUAUUUUAUGGGAAGUGAUUCACCAGUGCUUGUCAGAUAAAACACAAGGCUACUAUUUUCAGCAGAAGCUUCGUAUGUUUUGUAAUAUUUCGGGCAUGCGUUUAAAGCACAUUUCCCCUCUCCUAAAAAAGAAAGGGGGAAGGAAUACUGGGAACUGUAGUUUUUAAGGGUGCUGGGAAUUGUAGAUCUGUGAGGGUUAAGCUACACUACGCAAGAUUCUUGGGCGUGGGAAAUGUAUGCUUUAAAAGUCUAGUAUGUCCAUUGUUAAGUUGUGGGCGAACAUAUCAGACGACACAGCGAUUCUUCAAACAGCUCUUGUUUAUUCAGAGGCCAGAAUAGAACUGAACUGAAGAGCUCAGUCAGCCUGCUUGUAUAGAGCUCCAGAACAACGUAACUGUUGCAACUUUCUAAAACUAUCCAAUCACUGAACGUCACUUUCGAUCCUUCAUUUGCAUAACUAUCUACAGUAUCCCCCUGCUGGCCCAGGGUGAGAACUUCAAUACAUAGCAUCCAUAGCCUUAGACCUGCACCUAGCAAGUUCCUAAUAAAUUCAAGUUCGUGUUUCAGCCCCUGUGUUGGGCUCACCCGAUAUCAAGUUUUCAGCUCCUUUGGGGCUGCUUGCUCUGCACAGGCCUCAAUGUCAGACCGAUGUCUUUGCCUGAGCAAAAGCAAGAGGGGUUUAUUUCAGACUUGGCCAGGAGGAGUAGAAGUGGGGCAUUUGGUAGGGGGCAGAAGGCUUUCUUUUCUUUGCAAGAACGCAGCACUGGGCGAGAGGCACCAUCUGUGAAGUGGUGUGAGAGGCUUUGUAUCGAAUGGGGGGAACUGUCAGAUGAAAAUCCAGUUUUGAAGGAUGCCUGCUCUCCAGAAUUUGGCAGGGAGGGGGGGUGGAAUAAGCAGGCAUGCUUUGCGUUCAGUGGAAAUGGGGAGUUUCAUGAGACCGCGAGGCUCUCUGCCAGAGAAUUUUCAAAACAGACAUCUGGCCAAGAAAGCAUCAUGGAACAUUUGCCCCUUUAGUUUGCUGAAAUGUUAGCUCAUCUGUGCCUGGCCACAGAUGCGUUAAUGUGCUUUUGAUUUUCUUCCUCCUUUUUAUUCUCUGAGGUUCCUCGGGGAGGAAGGGUGGGGAGAAGAUUUAAUAAGUUAAAUAAAUAAAAAAUACUGUGGCCACCUAAAGAUUCCUCCUUCAACUGCCUGCGUCAACAAAGCCAAGAACGAGAGUAUUGACACAUUUGUCAUUUGGAAUACUUGUGUGUACAGUUCUGGUUUCUGGUCACCUUUGCUCCGAAAGGAUAUUGUAAAGUGGGAAAUGGUUCGGCAAAGUGUGACCCAAAUGAUCGAGGGGAUGAAGGAAGGUUCUGGGUUUGGGACUUUUUAAGUUUAGGGGGAAAGGCUCUGUCUUACAGGCCCUGCGGAAGGAAGUUAAAUCCUGCAGGGCCCUGGUCUCAUGGGACAGAGCAUCCCACCAGGUCGGAGGCAUCACUGAGAAGGCCCUGGCCCUGGAGGAGGAUAAUCUGACUUCCUUAGGGCCAGGGACCUCUAAUGAUUAUUCAUGGGCCUUAAGGUCCUCUGCGGGGCAGACCAGGAGAGGCGGUCCCAUAAAUACAAGGGCCCUAAGCCACAAAGGGCUUUAAAGGUCAAAACCAGCAAGGGGGAACAUGAUGAGACUUAGGAGAGGGAAGCUGAUAGGUCCAGUUGUAGGUAAGAAGGCAGGCUGGCUGAUGCCUGUCUGAGGUCAGUGGGGCAGUGCUCCAGCUGCCCUAACAGACCAACCUCUGCUGUCCAGAUGCAAACUCAAGCCCCCUGGGUCUGCCAGACAGCCAGGGGUCAGCUGCCUGGCGCUGCCAUGCCAGAAACCUGAUUCCCUUCCCGCUGGGGGAAGGGAAUGCAUCAGGUUGCAUUUUAUUGUGAAGGAAGGGGGAAAACGACAGGUGUGUGUUCCAGCUGUCAGUCUGGCGAGAUGGGGAGUUUAUUGGUUUUAACUCAUGAUGAUGCAGAGACGUUGAUCCUAGCCUUCACCUGCAUCUGGUUAGAAUGGGUUGGGGACGGUGUCCAGCCCGAGGGCCACAUUCCAUUCUGGGCAAGCUUCCGGUGGCCGGGGGCUGGUGGUGGGCUGGGACAGAAGCCGAAGUGAACCAAGCAGCAAAGGUAAAAAAAUCAUGUGUUUAUUUAUUGCAUUGAUAUCCUACCUUUCUCUCCCAGGAGCUCAAGGUGUCAUGCAUGGUUCUCCCCCUCCUCCUUAUUUAAUCCCCACUAUAACCCUGGUGCUGUGGGUUAAACCACAGAGCCUAGGACUUGCUGAUCAGAAGGUCGGCGGUUUGAAUCCCCACGACAGGGUGAGCUCCCGUUGCUCGGGCCCUGCUCCUGCCAACCUAGCAGUUCGAAAGCACGUCAAAGUGCAAGUAGACAAAUAGGUACCACUCUGGCAGGAAGGGAAACGGCGUUUCCAUGAGCUGCUCUGGUUCGCCAGAAGCGGCUUAGUCAUGCUGGCCACAUGACCCAGAAGCUGUACGCUGGCUCCCUCGGCCAGGAAAGCGAGAUGAGCACCGCAAGCCCAGAGUCGGUCACGACUGUACCUAAUGGUCAGGUGUCCCUUUACCUUUUUAUAACCCUGCCAGGUAGGUUAGGCUAAGAGGAAAGUGACUGGCUCAAAAAACCCAGGGAGGUCCCUGGCUUCCUUAGCUUGGGGUUCACCUAACUCCAUACCCUCCAACAUUUCUCUGCUGAAAAGAGGGAUUUCCUUAGAAAAAGCAGGACAUUCUGGGAUCAGAUCAGAAACUGGGAUGGCUUCUGUAAAUCUGGGACUGUCCCUGGAAAAUAGGGAAACCUAGAGCAGGGAUCAGCAAACUUUUUCCGCAGGGGGCCAGUCCAUUGUCCCUCAGGCCUUGUGGGGGGGGGCGUACUAUAUUUUGAAGAAAAAAAUGAACAAACUCCUAUGCCCCACAAAUAACCCAGAGAUGCAUUUUAAAUAAAAGGACACAUUCUACUCAUGUAAAAACACGCUGAUUCCCAGACCGUCCGUGGGCCAAAUUGAGAAGGCGAUUGGGCCGGAUCCGGCCCCCGGGCCUUAGUUUGCCUACCCAUGACUUAGAGGGUCUGCACUCAUCCAGCCUGCCAUUGUCCCUGGCAGUGACUGGACAUGCUCCCAGUCCCUGUGUUAAACACUCUGGGCCAUAUAUUCUAAUUGCUGCCAGCAUUCCUUGCAAACCAUCAAAGAAGCCGAAACUGAAACAUACCUGGCUUGUCUUUGUUUAUCUGGGUAAAAAAUAAGGGGUGGAGGGAAACCGCCCGCUUUUGCUGCCUACUCCUUCCCUCCUUCAUAUAGAUUCUUGUAAAUGUUUUGCAGUGAGGCCUGGGGGCUUUUGGUUUCCCCUGUGCAGUCGGAACAAUGUCUCUCUGCGAAUGGAUUAUUGAGCUGCUUGUACCGUGGCAGAAUAAAUAAGACAAUCGGGAGAAAGGACUUUUUCCAAUUAACCUUUCCUGGAGCUUGUCAGAGCCUGGCAUUGAGGCCUGAAGCGGGGACAGAAAACCACUCCACAGCUUCUCCUUCGUGUCUUGGAUCUGCUGCUGGCUUGACCUCUGGAUGCAACUCCCUGGCCUAGGUGGACCUUCGUCAACCUUCUCCAACCUGGUGCCCUCUGGAUCAGGGGGGGUCCCCAAACAUUUUUGAAGCUGUGCACCCUUGGGUUCAUAAACUCAUCCCCAGUGCCCCUACCCUAUAAAAAAAUCACAGCCCCCCACUCGGUAACACAAUAAAAUUCAAAACAGCAACAA